rnacentral:rRNA from 1 species
AUUGAACGCUGGCGGCAGGCCUAACACAUGCAAGUCGAACGGAAACAGGAAGCGGCUUGCUGCCUUGUUGACGCGUGGCGGGCGUGUGAGACAUGUCUGUGAAACUGCUUGAUGGCGGGGGUUACUUACUGGAACCGGUAGCUAAUACCGCAUAUCUUUGCAAGCCCAAGGAGGGAGACUUUAGGGCCUCUUUCCAUCGGCUGUGCCCAGAUGGCAUUAGCUAGUAGGUGGGGUAACGGCUCACCUAGGCAACGAUCCCUAGCGGGUCUGAGAGGUUGACCGGCCACACUGGAACUGAGACACGGUCCAGACUCCUACGGGAGGCAGCAGUAGGGAAUAUUGCGCAAUGGGCGAAAGCCUGACGGAGCAAUGCCGCGUGUAUGAAGAAGGCCUUCGGAUUGUAAAGUACUGUCAGUGGGGAGGAACAGAGUAGUAUGUAUAUGUGUACACAUUGACGGUACCCAAAGAGAAAGCACCGGCUAACUCCGUG